CGUCGCCAUUCUGCAGAUUAACGGCCUGUAAUUAUACAAAAGAAGAGGGUCGUUUGGGAAUAUGUCCGUGGUUUGACACCGAUGAAGGAUGGCUCUGUGAUUCUUCAGCUUACAUGAGCAACAUAGAUGGAUGACGGCAUUUUUGUUCAUGGAUGUUGACAUCAAUGGAUGGAGGUCGUAGCCUGCAGUUCAGUUGCGCUGAACCAGAAUCGUCCUGUUGCCGAUUGGAGUACGUCUAAUUAGGAUACAGACUCACAGUGUGAGCCACAUGCUGGAUGAACUCCUAGCUGAACUAAAUCAUGUCUCACAAGCAAAGGAAGACAUAGAUGACCAACGG